AUUGUACUCCCUCCGUCCGAAAAUACUUGUCAUCAAAAUGAAUAACAGGGGAUGUAUCUAGACGUAUAUUAGUUCUAGAUACAUCAUUUUUUAUUCAUUUUGAUGACAAGUAUUUUCGGACGGAGGGAGUACAAC
rfam:Triticum aestivum genome assembly, contig: Triticum_aestivum_CS42_TGACv1_scaffold_306645_4AS